rnacentral:rRNA from 1 species
UACAGAGGGUGCAAGCGUUAAUCGGAAUUACUGGGCGUAAAGCGUGCGUAGACGGUUGCGUAAGUCAGAUGUGAAAGCCCCGGGCUCAACCUGGGAAUUGCAUUUGAGACUGCGUAGCUAGGGUGCGGAAGAGGGAAGCGGAAUUUCCGGUGUAGCGGUGAAAUGCGUAGAUAUCAGGAGGAACACCGGUGGCGAAGGCGGGUCUCUGGGCCGAUACUGACGCUGGAGGAGCGAAAGCGUGGGGAGCGAACAGG